rnacentral:rRNA from 1 species
CCUGGCGGCGAUAGCGCGGUGGUCCCACCUGACCCCAUGCCGAACUCAGAAGUGAAACGCCGUAGCGCCGAUGGUAGUGUGGGGUCUCCCCAUGCGAGA